CAAGAAAGAAUGUCACACGUUGGG
rnacentral:piRNA from 1 species